CAGGGAAUCUUGCGCAAUGGGCGAAAGCCUGACGCAGCAACGCCGCGUGGGGGAUGAAGGCCCUUGGGUUGUAAACCCCUUUCAGCAGGGACGAAAUUGACGGUACCUGCAGAAGAAGCCCCGGCCAACUACGUGCCAGCAGCCGCGGUAAGACGUAGGGGGCAAGCGUUGUCCGGAUUUAUUGGGCGUAAAGCGCACGCAGGCGGCUUGGUAAGUCGGGUGUGAAACCUCCAGGCUCAACCUGGAGACGCCACCCGAUACUGCCAUGGCUAGAGUCCGGUAGGGGCCCGUGGAAUGUCAGGUGUAGCGGUGAAAUGCGCAGAUAUCUGACGGAACACCAGUGGCGAAGGCGGCGGGCUGGGCCGGAACUGACGCUCAUGUGCGAAAGCGUGGGUAGCAAACAGG
rnacentral:rRNA from 1 species